UACGAAGGGGGGCUAGCGUUGCUCGGAAUUACUGGGCGUAAAGCGCACGUAGGCGGCUCUUUAAGUCGGGGGUGAAAUCCUGGAGCUCAACUCCAGAACUGCCUUCGAUACUGAAGAGCUCGAGUCCGGGAGAGGUGAGUGGAACUGCGAGUGUAGAGGUGAAAUUCGUAGAUAUUCGCAAGAACACCAGUGGCGAAGGCGGCUCACUGGCCCGGUACUGACGCUGAGGUGCGAAAGCGUGGGGAGCAAACAGG
rnacentral:rRNA from 1 species